GACGUAGGGGGCAAGCGUUGUUCGGAAUUACUGGGCGUAAAGAGUGUGUAGGCGGUGCUCUAAGUUCGGUGUGAAAUCUCCUGGCUUAACUGGGAGGGUGCGCCGGAAACUGGAGUGCUCGAACGUGGGAGAGGAAAGCGGAAUUCCUGGUGUAGCGGUGAAAUGCGUAGAUAUCAGGAGGAACACCUGCGGUGUAGACGGCUUUCUGGACCAUUGUUGACGCUGAGACACGAAAGCGUGGGUAGCAAACAGG
rnacentral:rRNA from 1 species